UUUGAUCCUGGCUCAGGAUGAACGCUGGCGGUCUGCUUAACACAUGCAAGUCGAACGGGGGUAGAAAUACCCUAGUGGCGGACGGGUGAGUAACGCGUGAGAAUCUGCCUUCAGGUUCGGGACAACCACUGGAAACGGUGGCUAAUACCGGAUAGGCUUCACGGUGAAAGAUUUAUCGCCUGAAGAGGAGCUCGCGUCUGAUUAGCUAGUUGGUAGGGUAAAAGCCUACCAAGGCGACGAUCAGUAGCUGGUCUGAGAGGAUGAUCAGCCACACUGGGACUGAGACACGGCCCAGACUCCUACGGGAGGCAGCAGUGGGGAAUUUUCCGCAAUGGGCGAAAGCCUGACGGAGCAAGACCGCGUGAGGGAGGAAGGCUCUUGGGUUGUAAACCUCUUUUCUCAGGGAAGAAGAAAGUGACGGUACCUGAGGAAUCAGCCUCGGCUAACUCCGUGCCAGCAGCCGCGGUAAUACGGAGGAGGCAAGCGUUAUCCGGAAUUAUUGGGCGUAAAGCGUCCGCAGGUGGCUUGCUCAAGUCUGCUGUCAAAGACCGGGGCUUAACUCCGGAAAGGCAGUGGAAACUGACAAGCUAGAGGGCUCUAGGGGUAGAGGGAAUUCCCGGUGUAGCGGUGAAAUGCGUAGAGAUCGGGAAGAACAUCGGUGGCGAAAGCGCUCUACUGGAGAGCAACUGACACUCACAGGACGAAAGCUAGGGGAGCGAAUGGGAUUAGAUACCCCAGUAGUCCUAGCCGUAAACGAUGGAUACUAGGCGUGGCUCGUAUCGACCCGAGCCGUGCCGUAGCUAACGCGUUAAGUAUCCCGCCUGGGGAGUACGCACGCAAGUGUGAAACUCAAAGGAAUUGACGGGGGCCCGCACAAGCGGUGGAGUAUGUGGUUUAAUUCGAUGCAACGCGAAGAACCUUACCAGGGCUUGACAUGUCCGGAACCCUGCUGAAAGGUGGGGGUGCCUUCGGGAGCCGGAACACAGGUGGUGCAUGGCUGUCGUCAGCUCGUGUCGUGAGAUGUUGGGUUAAGUCCCGCAACGAGCGCAACCCUCGUUCUUAGUUGCCAGCAUUAAGUUGGGCACUCUAGGGAGACUGCCGGUGACAAACCGGAGGAAGGUGGGGAUGACGUCAAGUCAGCAUGCCCCUUACGUCCUGGGCUACACACGUACUACAAUGCGACGGACAAAGGGCAGCGAGCGAGCGAUCGUCAGCUAAUCCCAUAAACCGUGGCUCAGUUCAGAUCGCAGGCUGCAACUCGCCUGCGUGAAGGAGGAAUCGCUAGUAAUUGCAGGUCAGCAUACUGCAGUGAAUCCGUUCCCGGGCCUUGUACACACCGCCCGUCACACCAUGGGAGCUGGUUUUGCCCGAAGUCGUUACCCUAACCCGCAAGGGAAGGGGACGCCGAAGGCAGGGCUAGUGACUGGGGUGAAGUCGUAACAAGGUAGCCGUACCGGAAGGUGUGGCUGGAUCACCUCCUUU
rnacentral:rRNA from 1 species